rnacentral:rRNA from 1 species
UUGGACAAUGGGGGCAACCCUGAUCCAGCCAUGCCGCGUGUGUGAAGAAGGCCCUCGGGUUGUAAAGCACUUUCAGUGAGGAAGAACGCCUGGCGGUUAAUACCCGCCAGGAAAGACAUCACUCACAGAAGAAGCACCGGCUAACUCCGUGCCAGCAGCCGCGGUAAUACGGAGGGUGCAAGCGUUAAUCGGAAUUACUGGGCGUAAAGCGCGCGUAGGUGGCUUGAUAAGCCGGUUGUGAAAGCCCCGGGCUCAACCUGGGAACGGCAUCCGGAACUGUCAGGCUAGAGUGCAGGAGAGGAAGGUAGAAUUCCCGGUGUAGCGGUGAAAUGCGUAGAGAUCGGGAGGAAUACCAGUGGCGAAGGCGGCCUUCUGGACUGACACUGACACUGAGGUGCGAAAGCGUGGGUAGCAAACAGGAUUAGAUACCCUGGUAGUCCACGCCGUAAACGAUGUCGACUAGCCGUUGGGCUCCUUGAGAGCCUUGUGGCGGAGUUAACGCAUUAAGUCGACCGCCUGGGGAGUACGGCCGCAAGGUUAAAACUCAAAUGAAUUGACG